rnacentral:rRNA from 1 species
GACGAACGCUGGCGGCGUGCCUAAUACAUGCAAGUAGAACGCACAGUUUAUACCGUAGCUUGCUACACCAUAGACUGUGAGUUGCGAACGGGUGAGUAACGCGUAGGUAACCUGCCUGGUAGCGGGGGAUAACUAUUGGAACCGAUAGCUAAUACCGCAUAAUAUUGAUUAUUGCCUGAUAAUUGAUUGAAAGAUGCGAUUGCAUCACUACCAGAUGGACCUGCGUUGUAUUAGUUAGUAGGCGAGGUAACGGCUCACCUAGGCGAGGAUACAUAGCCGACCUGGGAGGGUGGUCGGCCACACUGGGACUGAGACACGGCCCAGACUCCUACGGGAGGCAGCAGUAGGGAAUCUUCGGCAAUGGACGAAAGUCUGACCGAGCAACGCCGCGUGAGUGAAGAAGGUUUUCGGAUCGUAAAGCUCUGUUGUAAGAGAGGAACGGGUGUGAGAGUGGAAAGUUCACACUGUGACGGUAUCUUACCAGAAAGGGACGGCUAACUACGUG